rnacentral:SRP_RNA from 1 species
CUGCGCUAGGCGGGGAGUUAGCGGCACCAUGUAUCUGAAAUCCGCUAUAUCAGAGCCGAACGCCUUUCUCGACUUCGUUUAUGGAAGGCCGCGCGUCGUAAGGAACGUUGAUAGCAAGGUCUUAUGCAACGCAAUGCCGCGAACCGUGUCAGGACGGGAACGUAGCAGCACUAAACGGAAGUUUGCGUGUGCCAUAAGGUAGCUUUGAAGGAGUCACCUGCGGCGUUCCCACUUCGGUAAUCAGCGGCAACAAAGGCUCGCGCAG